UUCUACAAUAUAUAUUCAAUAUACAAAUAUAUUCAACGAUAAAAAAUUGAAUAUGAAGUUAGUUUUGAACUAUAUUUUAGAACAAAAAUAUGUUAUUUGAAAAUUUUGAUGAAUAUUUAUAUAGUAUUUUGUCGAAGUAGGAUUGAAUUGUUUAAAGAGAUAAUCCCCUAUUUCUUUUAUACAUGAACACUAGAACUUGGUGUAAGUUGAUUUUUAAUAUGCUCCAAGUAUACGUAAAAGGCUUCAAGGCUUGCAAGGAGAAAAGGAAUUGCUCAUCACUGUUUUUGUAUUUAAUUGGGAUGCACCGAAUCCGGUUUUUGGCUGAAAACGCAAUCCAAACGUUCAGCCAUGAUGUUUUUCCGAACUCCGAUCGGUUUGGCAACAUAACUAUUGCUAAUUUAAAAUACAAACAUUAGUUAUUGAACUUGAAGUGAAAACCAGGCCCAAUGAGAUGGGUAAAGUUGGUGCGCCACACCGAGCCCCAAAAGAGUUUAGUAAAUGUGGUUCUAUAAAUGCGAUGUAGUGGUUAGUUACUUAUAUAAAUAAAGACUUUUUACCACAAUUAUAAAACUUUUCAUUGAUUUAUGCUCGUUACACAAUGCAAACAUGUUAAAGUAAUGUUAAACUGUUUCAAAAAUGAAUUUUAUAAAAUAUAGAAAUGUAAAAUGAAUGAAAUAAAUAUAAAUUUUUCC